ACUCAGCACACAGGCCUGGGGAGAGUGGUGUGUGUAGAGGGGGAAGAGCAAGGGACUCAGCACACAGCCCUGGGGGGAGCCGGUACUGAGGCUUAGGGCCAUGGAUGUG